rnacentral:rRNA from 1 species
GAGUUUGAUUAUGGCUCAGAACGAACGCUGGCGGUGCGUUUUAAGCAUGCAAGUCGAACGGUAAAAAGAGAGCUUGCUCUCUUUGAGAGUGGCGGACUGGUGAGUAACGCGUGGAUGAUCUACCUUUGAGAUGGGGAUAGCUUCUAGAAAUAGGAGAUAAUACCGAAUAACCUUGUUGUGUUUUGAUGUAACAAGAAAAGGGGCGUCAGCUCCGCUCGAAGAUGAGUCUGCGUCCCAUUAGCUAGUUGGUAGGGUAAAGGCUUACCAAGGCGACGAUGGGUACCCGGCCUGAGAGGGUGAACGGACACAUUGGGACUGAGAUACGGCCCAAACUCCUACGGGAGGCAGCAGCUGAGAAUCUUCCGCAAUGGACGAAAGUCUGACGGAGCGACACCGCGUGAACGAUGAAGGCCGGAAGGUUGUAAAGUUCUUUUGCAGACAAAGAAUAAGGAUAGAAGGAAAUGA